CUGAAUGCCCGCCUGUAUGUGGAACUGUAAUAGAUUGAAUGGAUACAUUGAAGUUUAGCUUCCUGAACCUGCACAGAUUUCUGAAAAAUCCCUGAUCUUCAGCUUCAUCAUCUAUCAAUCAUCAAUAGCCCAGGCUGAAGUACAGUGACACAAUCUCGGCUCACUGCAAUGUCUGCUUCCCAGGUUCAAGCUAUUCUCCUGCCUCAGCCUCCCAAGGAACUGGGAUUACAGGAGACAGCAACCUUGGCUUUGCUUAUAGCUCUAAGCAGGGCUGUUCCCAGAGGAGGACUGUCCUUCUGAGGAAAGAAGGCACGGAGCUGGUUACAAUCCCAGGGAGGAUGUCUGCACAGAGAGGUAUUUUUUCUUUUUUUUCUCAAUACAAUUUACACAGAAGGGGCUUGCUGCCAGUGUGAUAAUUGAGAAACACCUGGAGAAAAUGUCUCUCUAUUAAUUGACAAUGGCUUUCUCCUCCUCAGUCCUCAUCCCUCAGAAAGAAAAAAUAAAAGCAUAAAAGAAAAAAAAAAGGCA
rnacentral:lncRNA from 13 species